CUGCAUCAACUGAGGCCUAUUAAGCGUGUUGCUUUUGAAGGGCCUGUAACAGGAAGGCGUUUCUAUGGCUGCCCAGUCCAGGAAAAUGGUGUGAAUUGUGGUGUUGUAGAGUGGGUUGAUGGGCCUUGGCCAACUGUUCUUCAGAGAUGUUUGUGCAAACUAUGGGAGAUGUUCCAUGAGCAGAACUUUGGAAGGGUACAUGACAAGGAGAAGUUUGAGAAGGAGUUGGCCAGGCUUAAGACUGAAAAUGACAAGCUUUGCAUUGAGUACACCAAGCUUGUUGAUGAUGUAUCCAAGAUGUUUGAUUGGCAGGAUGGUAGGGUGGACAAGAAGGUGUACCAGAAACAAGUGGAGGAGGAAGAACUUGAGAAGAAGAAGAAGGAGCUAGAGGAGAAAGCUAUGUUGGAGGUGCAGAUGGAAAAGCUCAAACUUGCAAAAGAGCAUAGGUGCAUUUUGCAGAGCCAAGCUGAUAUCAUCAAGAACACCGGGAAGGCUAUGAAGGCUGUUGAAGUUGACAGAGAUGUUCUUAAGAAGGAGAAGGCAAAGCUUGAGCUUGUUGUUGCUGAGCUGCUGAAAGAAGGGUAUGGCAGCAAGGAGAAGUUAGAGCAAAUCAAGGCCAUCCUUGAGUCUUGA
rnacentral:rRNA from 1 species